rnacentral:rRNA from 1 species
CCUACGGGUGGCAGCAGUAGGGAAUCUUCCACAAUGGGCGCAAGCCUGAUGGAGCAACACCGCGUGAGUGAAGAAGGGUUUCGGCUCGUAAAGCUCUGUUGUUGGAGAAGAACGUGCGUGAGAGUAACUGUUCACGCAGUGACGGUAUCCAACCAGAAAGUCACGGCUAACUCCGUGCCAGCAGCCGCGGUAAUACGUAGGUGGCAAGCGUUAUCCGGAUUUAUUGGGCGUAAAGUGAGCGCAGGCGGGUGCUUAUGUCUGAUGUGAAAGGCUUCGGCUUAACCGAAGAAGUGCAUCGGAAACCGGGCGACUUGAGUGCAGACGAGGACGGUGGAACUCCAGGUGUAGCGGUGGAAUGCUUAGAUAUAUGGAAGAACACCGGUGGCGAAGGCGGCUGUCUGGUCUGCCACUGACGCUGAGGCUCGAAAGCAUGGGUAGCGAACAGGAUUAGAUACCCUUGUAGUC